GUGGUACCACUCAAGCUCCAGAGGGGUUAGAGACUAAGGGUAGUCACAUGGGUGAACAGAAUGUCCGAAUGGCCAACUCCCAGUAAAAACUCUGGACAACAAAGCUUGGGUCCUAGACAGUGCAAUACACAAAAGAAAUAUGAGCUAUAAUUAUUGGAAUGAAGAAACUGUCAUGAUUACAGAAGGAGAGGAAAAGGCCCAACACCUGCCUGUCAGGGCUCCUGGAUCACGCCCUGCUGCCUGCUGACCUAUAUUGGACUCGAGCCCUUCUUCUGGCAUGCUCACCUGUUAACCCACCUAUCAGCCCACACCUCUGACUGCUGGCUGCUCCCCAUUGAGCCUGAAAUACUGUGCUAUCUGCCUGUACCCUUUUGCAUAAGCUGGGGUUGGGUUAUCUCAGAUUUCUAUUUGGGUCAAGAUUGCCACAUACCUCACCUCUUCUGUUCUGGUCCUCAUCCUGUGUUCCUGGACAAAAAUAACAUUUGAGUAGAAAGCUUUUCUACUUGUUGACAUAGUUGAACAGAUUUUGCUUUAUUGAGAUGAAAUGGAGCCUAAAUUUAUCUGGAAAUGUGUGGAAUCAGUAGAGAGAAGUAAACACAACUCGAAGAAAGCGGGAAACCCCUGUGUACAAUUCAGCUUUUUCACUCCCAGGGAGUUGGGCAUGAUUGUAAAGAAUGAUGUUUUCAAGCCUGCCAAUAACAGAACACGUCUGUAUCCAUUGUGGAUGGGCUUCUUUGAGAAAGCUUCCUUUUCGCCCAAGUAGAGGAGCUCUUCACUGCCCUAAGAUUCUGCUUUCCUACUCCCAUGUCAGAGCAGGAAAAGGUGAAUAUUUUUCACACAGAAUAGCCUCAUCCAUUCCCACGGGGAGUGAGAUAGUUCCUGUAGGGUGCUAGUGAUGGCAUAAAAUUACAGCUCACUAGAGAAACAGUUGCGAGUAAAGAAAUAUAUACAUUUCCUCUAUUUGUGUUCCCUGUCUGUGUUGUCUAAGUUGCAAACAACAGACUCCACUUCAGCUAGGUUAAAGGGAAAAGAGGUUUAAUAAAGAAAAUUAAAUAGCUUAUAGCAUCACUGGGGAACUAGAGAAACAGAUUUAAGGCUAAGCUUCCAGAAACAUAUCCCAAAACAUGCCCCCAAACCGUGACACUGACAUGAAGAGACAGUUGUCAUUGCUGCUUUAUUGAACAGAGGACUGAGAAUUUUUCUACAGUCACUGCUGUUCUCUGCACUGAUGGAAGCCAAGCCUGCCUGGAGAACUCAACUUUGCAACCCAAAGCUGGUGGCUAAUGUGGCUACCCCUACCAACAAAAUGGAAACUCCACCAGGUGUCUGAAUCCAGCUCUCACGACCAUUUAGUGGAGCAGGAAGAAACUGCAGGCCUUUUGGAGGUAUUUCCUUGUGAUUCUGGUCCAAUCCACCACCACCGUCUCACGCUUAGAACCCUGCAAUCCUUCUCUUUUAAUAAUCGAGGUGAAAGAAUCCAAGAAAAGUUGGCACUAUGAAGACAAUAUGCCCAAGAUAGAUUUCUCAAGACUUCCUUUGUUUUUUUCCUCUGAAUGACAAAGCUGCCCACGCGUGGGACCUGCUCAUUCUGUUGCCUGGAUGUCUUCUCCAACAGCACCAGAAUCCCUAAGGUAGCUGGUAUCAAGCCAUGAAUUCUCCUUAUUGAGUUUAUGCUUUUCCAAGAGUCUUUGAAAUGCAAGUUGUAAGAAAAGUGAAAGCACAUGAUGACUUGGUUAAACAUACAAAAUCUAUUCAUG
rnacentral:lncRNA from 1 species